rnacentral:rRNA from 1 species
UACGUAGGGUGCAAGCGUUAAUCGGAAUUACUGGGCGUAAAGCGUGCGCAGGCGGCUUUGCAAGACAGAUGUGAAAUCCCCGGGCUUAACCUGGGAACUGCAUUUGUGACUGUCAGGCUGGAGUACUGUAGGGGCAGGCGGAAUUCCGGGUGUAGCGGUGGAGUGCGUAGAGAUCCGGAGGAAGACCGGUGGCGAAGGCGGCCUGCUGGGCAGUUACUGACACUGAUGCGCGACAGCGUGGGGAGCAAACAGG